rnacentral:lncRNA from 1 species
AUGGGUUUUAAGAGGUGCCCAGAAGAUCCUUUCAGGGUUUCCAAAAGGUUCCCAGAAGGUUCCUGGAACUUCUCCAGAAGAUCCCCAGAUGCUUCCCAGAAGCUCCCUCUGAGGAGUUCUCCAGAAAUGUCCCAGAAGGUUCCCAGAAGUUCCUUAGAUGUUCUCCCAAAGACCUCCAGGUCUCCAGAGGUUCUCCUGAAGUUCUCCAGAAGAUCCCCAGAAGUUCUCCAGAAGUUCUCCAGAAACGUUCCAGAAGGUUUCCAGAAGUUCUCCAGGAGUUCCUUAGAUGUUCUCCCGAAGACCUCCAGGUCUCCAGAAGUUCUCCAGAAGUUCCCCACAAGUUCCCCAGACGUUCUCCAGGAGUUCCUUAGAUGUUCUCCUGAAGACCUCCAGGUCUCCAGAAGUUCUCCUGAAUUUCUCCAUAAGUUCUCCAAAAGUUCUCCAGAAAUGUUCCAGAAGCUUCCCAGAAGUUCCUUAGAUGCUCUCCAGGACAUCUCCAGGUCUCCACAAGUUCUCCUCAAGUUCUUCUCAAGUUCUCCUCAACUUCUCCUAAAGUUCUCCACAAGUUCUCCAGAAGUUCUCCUCAAGUUCUCCUCAAGUUCUCCUCAGGUUCUCCUCAAGUUCUCCUCAAGUUCCCCACAAGUUCUCCUCAAGUUCUCCUCAAGUUCUCCUCAGGUUCUCCUCAAGUUCUCCACAAGUUCUCCACAAGUUCUCCACAAGUUCUCCACAAGUUCUCCUCAAGUUCUCCUCAGGUUCUCCACAAGUUCUCCUCAAGUUCUCCACAAGUUCUCCACAAGUUCCCCUCAAGUUCUCCACAAGUUCUCCUCAAGUUCUCCUCACCACCACCACCACCCAUCCCACCUCCCUCCCUCCUCCUCCAGCCCUUCCCCAACCCCAGGAGCUCCAGGAUGGCCCUGGUGGGAGGUGACCUCAUUGUCCCCUGGUUGUCCCCAGGUUGUCCCCAGGUUGUCCCCAGGUUGUCCCCCCUGGCCAAGGCCACCCCAGGUCCCGGUACCUUCUUGGCCCCGGUCAGCGCCGCCUUCUGCAGUUUGUUGUAGCAGUACUUGGCGUAGGUGCUGAUGGCCACCCCUGCAGGAGAAGACACGGUGGGUGGUGGGAUGUCACCUCCAGGCCGGUGGGAUGUCACCUCCAGGGUGGUGGGAUGUCACCUCCAGGACCUUAAGGAGCUCCCCCCGUCCCCUCCCCAUGGUCCUUCUCCAUCCCCAUCCUUUGUCCUCCUCAAACCUCUCAAGAACCUUGGAGGAACCACCCGAGGUGGAGCUCUGGAGCUCCGUGGAGGCUCCAUCUCAGGUGGCUUUUGGAGGCUCCAUCUCGGGUGGCUUUUGGAGGCUCCAUCUCGGGUGGCUUUUGGAGGCCACCACUGCCACGGUCACCACUCCCACCCCCUCUGUCUUCUCCAGGUCCCACCACUUCCAUCUUCUCACCCCAUCUCCUGUUCCUGAUGUUCUCCAGUGAGGAGAUGGCGCCGAUCCCACCAACCCUGGAGACCUGAGAGGACCUUCUGGAAAAUCCCACCAACCCUGGAGACCUGAGAGGACCUUCUGGACCAUCCCAGGAGAAGCUCUGGGGACCUGGUGGGACCUUCUGGACCAUCCCAGAGCCUUGGAGAUCUGGUGGAACUUUCUGGACCAUCCAAGGAGAAGCUCUGGGGACCUGGUGGGACCUUCUGGAGCAUCCCAGAGCCUUGGGGAUCUGGUGGGACCUUCUGGACCAACCCUUGGUGGGACCUGGUGGGACCUUCUGGACCAUCCCAGGAGAAGCUCUGGGGACCUGGUGGGACCUUCUGGACCAUCCCAGGAGAAGCUCUGGGGACCUGGUGGGACCUUCUGGAAAAUCCCAACAGCCCUGAGAACCUGGUGGGACCUCCUGGACCAACCCUUGGUGGGACUUGAUGGAACCUUCUGGACCAUUCCAGGAGAAACUCUGGGGACCUGGUGGGACCUUCUGGACCAUCCCAGGAGAAGCUCUGGGGACCUGGUGGGACCUUCUGGAAAAUCCCAACAGCCCUGAGAACACCAACACCAAUGCAACACCAAUGCCCAUAGUGCUGACGCUAAUAUUAAUUCUAAUAAUAUUAAUAUUAUUAAAUAAAUGACACCAAGUCCACCUGACCA